rnacentral:rRNA from 1 species
AGCGGCGGACGGGUGAGUAAUGCCUAGGAAUCUGCCUGGUAGUGGGGGAUAACGUUCGGAAACGGACGCUAAUACCGCAUACGUCCUACGGGAGAAAGCAGGGGACCUUCGGGCCUUGCGCUAUCAGAUGAGCCUAGGUCGGAUUAGCUAGUUGGUGGGGUAAUGGCUCACCAAGGCGACGAUCCGUAACUGGUCUGAGAGGAUGAUCAGUCACACUGGAACUGAGACACGGUCCAGACUCCUACGGGAGGCAGCAGUGGGGAAUAUUGGACAAUGGGCGAAAGCCUGAUCCAGCCAUGCCGCGUGUGUGAAGAAGGUCUUCGGAUUGUAAAGCACUUUAAGUUGGGAGGAAGGGUUGUAGAUUAAUACUCUGCAAUUUUGACGUUACCGACAGAAUAAGCACCGGCUAACUCUGUGCCAGCAGCCGCGGUAAUACAGAGGGUGCAAGCGUUAAUCGGGAAUUACUGGGCGUAAAGCGCGCGUAGGUGGUUUGUUAAGUUGGAUGUGAAAUCCCCGGGCUCAACCUGGGAACUGCAUUCAAAACUGACUGACUAGAGUAUGGUAGA